UACGGGAGGCAGCAGUGGGGAAUAUUGCACAAUGGGCGAAAGCCUGAUGCAGCUAUGCCGCGUGUAUGAAGAAGGCCUUAGGGUUGUAAAGUACUUUCAUCGGGGAGGAAAAACAAAACUAAUAAUUUUAUUUCUUGACGUUACCCGAAAAAGAAGCACCGGCUAACUCCGUGCCAGCAGCCGCGGUAAUACGGAGGGUGCUAGCGUUAAUCAGAAUUACUGGGCGUAAAGAGCACGUAGGUGGUUUUUUUAAGUUCAGAUGUGAAUCCCUGGGCUUAACCUAGGAACUGCAUUUUGAAACUGAAAUACUAGAGUAUCGUAGAGGGAGGUAGAAUUCUAGGUGUAGCGGUGAAAUGCGUAGAUAUCUGGAGGAAUACCUGUGGCGAAAGCGGCCUCCUAAACGAAUACUGACACUGAGGGUGCGAAAGCGUGGGGAGGCAAACAGGGAUUAGAUACC
rnacentral:rRNA from 1 species